UACGAAGGGGGCUAGCGUUGCUCGGAAUUACUGGGCGUAAAGCGCACGUAGGCGGUUUGUUAAGUCGGGGGUGAAAUCCUGGAGCUCAACUCCAGAACUGCCUUCGAUACUGGCGAUCUAGAGUCCGGGAGAGGUGAGUGGAACUGCGAGUGUAGAGGUGAAAUUCGUAGAUAUUCGCAAGAACACCAGUGGCGAAGGCGGCUCACUGGCCCGGUACUGACGCUGAGGUGCGAAAGCGUGGGGAGCAAACAGG
rnacentral:rRNA from 1 species